UGGAUACCCGAAGAAGAAGAACAA
rnacentral:siRNA from 1 species